UGGCUGUUAGCAUAGUCACAGUUCUGCAACCGACAUGAUAAAUUUUAGAACAUUCAUCGCACCCAAAGAACAUUCCGUCCCCAUUAGCAAUCAUUCUUCCCCACUCACCCUUCCCCAUGCCCUAGGCAACGACGAAUUAUGCAUCUGCUUUCUGUUCCUAAGACUUUGAUUACUUUAGAUACCUCGGUUCUUCCUCUACCAAUAGGGAGCCAACCUCCCGUAAUGAGAUGAAAUUUUAUAACCUCCUGUUCCCAUAACAUCCUAUUAUGUUUGAACAUGGCCACCAAGAUACAAACCCAUCACAGCUUGACCAGCUGCCUUUGUUCUCAUUCUGCCCACCCAGAAGUUCCAUGCCAAAGACCGAAUGUAUAAAAGCUGGAAUAUGUCCUCUGCUCAGCCAUGUUGUUGUUAACGGCUGAG